UAAGACGAACCGUGCGAACGUUGUUCGGAAUCACUGGGCUUAAAGGGCGCGUAGGCGGCUCGCCAAGUCAGGGGUGAAAUACUUCAGCUUAACUGGAGAAGUGCCCUUGAUACUGGCGGGCUCGAGGGAGGUAGGGGUCUGUGGAACUUCUGGUGGAGCGGUGAAAUGCGUUGAUAUCAGAAGGAACGCCGGUGGCGAAAGCGACGGACUGGACCUCUUCUGACGCUGAGGCGCGAAAGCUAGGGGAGCAAACGGGAUUAGAUACCCCGGUAGUCCUAGCCCUAAACGAUGGGUACUAGAUUGUAGACUUGACAUGGGUUUACAGUCGAAGCAAAAGUGUUAAGUACCCCGCCUGGGGAGUAUGGUCGCAAGGCUG
rnacentral:rRNA from 1 species